rnacentral:rRNA from 1 species
UUUCGUGCCUUCGGAGCUCUGUGACAGGUGCUGCAUGGCUGUCGUCAGCUCGUGUUGUGAAAUGUUGGGUUAAGUCCCGUAACGAGCGCAACCCUUGUCCUUAGUUGCUAGCGGGUAAUGCCGAGAACUCUAAGGAGACUGCCGGUGACAAACCGGAGGAAGGUGGGGACGACGUCAAGUCAUCAUGGCCCUUACGUCUUGGGCUACACACGUGCUACAAUGGUUCGUACAAAGGGUUGCCAAGCCGCGAGGUGGAGCUAAUCUCAUAAAACGAAUCGUAGUCCGGAUUGGAGUCUGCAACUCGACUCCAUGAAGUCGGAAUCGCUAGUAAUCGUAGAU